UACGGAGGGGGCUAGCGUUGUUCGGCAUUACUGGGCGUAAAGCGCGCGUAGGCGGUUUUUCAAGUCAGAGGUGAAAGCCCGGAGCUCAACUCCGGAAUAGCCUUUGAAACUGGAUAACUUGAGUCUUGGAGAGGCGAGUGGAAUUCCGAGUGUAGAGGUGAAAUUCGUAGAUAUUCGGAAGAACACCAGUGGCGAAGGCGACUCGCUGGACAAGUACUGACGCUGAGGUGCGAAAGCGUGGGGAG
rnacentral:rRNA from 1 species